ACCCGCACAAGCGGUGGAUGAUGUGGUUUAAUUCGAUGCAACGCGAAAACCUUACCACCUUUGACAUGGCAGGAAUCCCGAAGAGAUUUGGGAGUGCUCGAAAGAGAACCUGCACACAGGUGCUGCAUGGCUGUCGUCAGCUCGUGUCGUGAGAUGUUGGGUUAAGUCCCGCAACGAGCGCAACCCUUAUCAUUAGUUGCUACGCAAGGGCACUCUAAUGAGACUGCCGGUGACAAACCGGAGGAAGGUGGGGAUGACGUCAAGUCCUCAUGGCCCUUAUGGGUAGGGCUUCACACGUCAUACAAUGGUCGGUACAGAGGGUUGCCAAGCCGCGAGGCGGAGCCAAUCCCACAAAGCCGAUCGUAGUCCGGAUUGUUCUCUGCAACUCGAGAGCACGAAGUCGGAAUCGCUAGUAAUCGCAGGUCAGCAUACUGCGGUGAAUACGUUCCCGGGUCUU
rnacentral:rRNA from 1 species